rnacentral:misc_RNA from 1 species
GAUCUUAAAGGCUUGGAUGCUACCUCAGAAAAUUCCUCUGCGUCUGAAGCAUCCACAAUAACAGUAACAUUUUCCAGUAAUUGGUCUGGCAUUGUGUUGGUGCAAUUGUACUGGAACACAACAUGCCCAUCAAAAAUGUGCUUAACAACAUUAACAGCAUAUUCUGUCUCUGCUUCUGUAAGCUCCACAGGUGCUGAGGACUUGAAAAGCUUCCCAAAGUUUGAGAACUCUGGGAUGGAGGAAAGAAGCCUUUCAUAAGCAUCAACAGUAGAUGGAGGGCCAAUUGGAGGUGCACCGAGACCAGUUGGCUUCUUGCCUGGGGCUUUCUUCUCAGCAAGUGGCUGAGACUUAACUUCCUUUGGCACAGAAUGAAUAUCAAAAGGCUCUUCAGAAGGUUCAUAAUUUUUCAAACUUGUCUCAAGGUUAACUAGUGGGAUAUCUAGCGGUCCAAAGAGAAAAGCUUGCAUGUCUUUAUCAGUUUCAACGACUUGACCAUCACCAGCAAGGGUUUUAAGAUAAAGCGUAGCCCUAUCACGAACCUCAUCAUCACCAUCAAAGAGGCAGCGUCUCAGCAGAACAAAAAUGCGUGGCUUCAAUGCAUCAACUAAAGCACCAAACUUUGCUAAUGUGCUCACUGCAGCAGCCCGAACAGUUGCAUUCUCAAGAUGCACACGAUUGUAGAUGUAACGUAUAUAUUUGCAGGGAUCCGAGGUCUUUGGCCCUUCAAUCCCCAAGAAAUGGAGUAUCUGUGUUGA